rnacentral:rRNA from 2 species
GGGUUGUGAGGUUAAGCGACUAAGCGUACACGGUGGAUGCCCUGGCAGUCAGAGGCGAUGAAGGACGUGCUAAUCUGCGAUAAGCGUCGGUAAGGUGAUAUGAACCGUUAUAACCGGCGAUUUCCGAAUGGGGAAACCCAGUGUGUUUCGACACACUAUCAUUAACUGAAUCCAUAGGUUAAUGAGGCGAACCGGGGGAACUGAAACAUCUAAGUACCCCGAGGAAAAGAAAUCAACCGAGAUUCCCCCAGUAGCGGCGAGCGAACGGGGAGCAGCCCAGAGCCUGAAUCAGUGUGUGUGUUAGUGGAAGCGUCUGGAAAGGCGCGCGAUACAGGGUGACAGCCCCGUACACAAAAAUGCACAUGCUGUGAGCUCGAUGAGUAGGGCGGGACACGUGGUAUCCUGUCUGAAUAUGGGGGGACCAUCCUCCAAGGCUAAAUACUCCUGACUGACCGAUAGUGAACCAGUACCGUGAGGGAAAGGCGAAAAGAACCCCGGCGAGGGGAGUGAAAAAGAACCUGAAACCGUGUACGUACAAGCAGUGGGAGCACGCUUAGGCGUGUGACUGCGUACCUUUUGUAUAAUGGGUCAGCGACUUAUAUUCUGUAGCAAGGUUAACCGAAUAGGGGAGCCGAAGGGAAACCGAGUCUUAACUGGGCGUUAAGUUGCAGGGUAUAGACCCGAAACCCGGUGAUCUAGCCAUGGGCAGGUUGAAGGUUGGGUAACACUAACUGGAGGACCGAACCGACUAAUGUUGAAAAAUUAGCGGAUGACUUGUGGCUGGGGGUGAAAGGCCAAUCAAACCGGGAGAUAGCUGGUUCUCCCCGAAAGCUAUUUAGGUAGCGCCUCGUGAAUUCAUCUCCGGGGGUAGAGCACUGUUUCGGCAAGGGGGUCAUCCCGACUUACCAACCCGAUGCAAACUGCGAAUACCGGAGAAUGUUAUCACGGGAGACACACGGCGGGUGCUAACGUCCGUCGUGAAGAGGGAAACAACCCAGACCGCCAGCUAAGGUCCCAAAGUCAUGGUUAAGUGGGAAACGAUGUGGGAAGGCCCAGACAGCCAGGAUGUUGGCUUAGAAGCAGCCAUCAUUUAAAGAAAGCGUAAUAGCUCACUGGUCGAGUCGGCCUGCGCGGAAGAUGUAACGGGGCUAAACCAUGCACCGAAGCUGCGGCAGCGACGCUGAUGCGUUGUUGGGUAGGGGAGCGUUCUGUAAGCCUGUGAAGGUGUGCUGUGAGGCAUGCUGGAGGUAUCAGAAGUGCGAAUGCUGACAUAAGUAACGAUAAAGCGGGUGAAAAGCCCGCUCGCCGGAAGACCAAGGGUUCCUGUCCAACGUUAAUCGGGGCAGGGUGAGUCGACCCCUAAGGCGAGGCCGAAAGGCGUAGUCGAUGGGAAACAGGUUAAUAUUCCUGUACUUGGUGUUACUGCGAAGGGGGGACGGAGAAGGCUAUGUUGGCCGGGCGACGGUUGUCCCGGUUUAAGCGUGUAGGCUGGUUUUCCAGGCAAAUCCGGAAAAUCAAGGCUGAGGCGUGAUGACGAGGCACUACGGUGCUGAAGCAACAAAUGCCCUGCUUCCAGGAAAAGCCUCUAAGCAUCAGGUAACAUCAAAUCGUACCCCAAACCGACACAGGUGGUCAGGUAGAGAAUACCAAGGCGCUUGAGAGAACUCGGGUGAAGGAACUAGGCAAAAUGGUGCCGUAACUUCGGGAGAAGGCACGCUGAUAUGUAGGUGAAGUCCCUUGCGGAUGGAGCUGAAAUCAGUCGAAGAUACCAGCUGGCUGCAACUGUUUAUUAAAAACACAGCACUGUGCAAACACGAAAGUGGACGUAUACGGUGUGACGCCUGCCCGGUGCCGGAAGGUUAAUUGAUGGGGUCAGCGCAAGCGAAGCUCUUGAUCGAAGCCCCGGUAAACGGCGGCCGUAACUAUAACGGUCCUAAGGUAGCGAAAUUCCUUGUCGGGUAAGUUCCGACCUGCACGAAUGGCGUAAUGAUGGCCAGGCUGUCUCCACCCGAGACUCAGUGAAAUUGAACUCGCUGUGAAGAUGCAGUGUACCCGCGGCAAGACGGAAAGACCCCGUGAACCUUUACUAUAGCUUGACACUGAACAUUGAGCCUUGAUGUGUAGGAUAGGUGGGAGGCUUAGAAGUGUGGACGCCAGUCUGCAUGGAGCCGACCUUGAAAUACCACCCUUUAAUGUUUGAUGUUCUAACGUUGACCCGUAAUCCGGGUUGCGGACAGUGUCUGGUGGGUAGUUUGACUGGGGCGGUCUCCUCCUAAAGAGUAACGGAGGAGCACGAAGGUUGGCUAAUCCUGGUCGGACAUCAGGAGGUUAGUGCAAUGGCAUAAGCCAGCUUGACUGCGAGCGUGACGGCGCGAGCAGGUGCGAAAGCAGGUCAUAGUGAUCCGGUGGUUCUGAAUGGAAGGGCCAUCGCUCAACGGAUAAAAGGUACUCCGGGGAUAACAGGCUGAUACCGCCCAAGAGUUCAUAUCGACGGCGGUGUUUGGCACCUCGAUGUCGGCUCAUCACAUCCUGGGGCUGAAGUAGGUCCCAAGGGUAUGGCUGUUCGCCAUUUAAAGUGGUACGCGAGCUGGGUUUAGAACGUCGUGAGACAGUUCGGUCCCUAUCUGCCGUGGGCGCUGGAGAACUGAGGGGGGCUGCUCCUAGUACGAGAGGACCGGAGUGGACGCAUCACUGGUGUUCGGGUUGUCAUGCCAAUGGCACUGCCCGGUAGCUAAAUGCGGAAGAGAUAAGUGCUGAAAGCAUCUAAGCACGAAACUUGCCCCGAGAUGAGUUCUCCCUGACUCCUUGAGAGUCCUGAAGGAACGUUGAAGACGACGACGUUGAUAGGCCGGGUGUGUAAGCGCAGCGAUGCGUUGAGCUAACCGGUACUAAUGAACCGUGAGGCUUAACCUUACAACGCCGAAG